GAUGAGUUUACGAUAUUUUAUACAUAUGAUACAUACCGUAGUCUAAGUUUCAUUAGCGGCACAAACAACUUUAAAGAACCAAAAGUCUUGUUUUUAAUGAUUGGUAGAAAUAUUCUUUAAAUAAAUUAAGACAUCGGUGAUAGUAAAUAGUAGGACUAUACAUGCGCGUAUAAUUCAAGUGUUUACGUUCAAAUUAGCGAGCUUGUACCACAGAUGAUCCGUCCAUAAAUCGUACAUGAAAUAGUCGAUUAGCAUUGGUAAACAUUCCUUCUUUAAGGCUAACAAUAAUAAACUGAGAACCUUUAAACUUUGUUUUAAUAAGUCUUCCAAUGUUUUGGGUAUGACUUAAAUCGAGCGCCGCGUCAAUUUCAUCUAAAAUGUACAUUGGAGCAGGCUUAUAUUUAAGUAGAGACAUAAUAAGAGCCAAUGCAACUAGAGACCUUUGUCCACCACUAAGUUCUGCCAGACUAUCUUUCCAAAUUGACCCAAUUUUUACAUGAAUUUCCAAUCCAUCAGUGAAUUCUUUAUUCUCUGGUGGCUGUAGUUCUGCACUAUUACCAGGAAGUAGUUCGUCAAAAAUUUCACCGAAAGAAGAAUUGACUUCUCUCCAGGUUUUUUCUAAGGCACUCCUUUUAAACCGAUCAAUACUUUUGACAGUAUCUUGGAUCUUUUUCUUAUCGCGAUGAAUGGUCUUUAUCAUAGAGCGCAAUUUGGCUUCUUUCUUUUCUACACCGUCAAUCAUGUCCAUAACCUUGGGAUUAAUAGCUUUACGCAUACUAGCAAAUCGCGGUUUCAAAUUAUGUAACUGCUCUCUACACUGACGCAUGUUUUGAGAGUGAAAAUCGAAAAUGGUUCCUUGCUUACCAAAGUGCUGUUUCUGUCCAUCUAUCCAAUCAUUUUCCUUUUCCAAAUGAUUAAUAGCAGUUAUAGCAACUGAUUUUUCUCGCUCUAAUCGGUCAAACUCGUGGUUCAGCUUUUGAAUUGUUAGCUCCCCAUUGUUUAUUUCAGAUUCGAAUGUUUUCAUUGAGGUACUGAGUGAAUCUAUCUCUUUGUUAAGUCCAGAAAACUUGGCGCUUUCAAUUUCUAUUAGUUCGGUGAGUUUCUUUCGAUUAUGCUCCUCAUUAACAAGUGACAGCUCAAGUUCUGCAAUUUCCGUCUUUAUUAAACUCGUGGUCGAUUCACCUUGUACGAGAGAUUGCUGAUGGUUUUGCAAUUCGCCUUCUAAUUGUUCACAUUCGAGUUUAACGCCAUUAUAGUCAUUCUCGGACUUUUCCAAUAUAGGAGUAAACUCGUCUAACUUGUGCUUGUAUUGAUUAAACUCCUUUUCCAAUUCAGCCAUUUUUGAUCCCUUGUUAUGUUUCCAUUCUUGCAUGUCUCGUUCAAUUUUUUUUAUAGCUUGGUCACUUUGCAAUAUAAGUCUGUCUAAUUCAGGAAGCCUUUGCUUGAGAUCUUUAACGUCGUCUUUGUACUGCUGAUAAUCAGAUAAAAGACGAAAAGAUGAGUCGGUCUCUCUUUGCUCUAUCAAAAGUGUUAAUUCAUGUUGCUUUAGUUGAAUUUCUUGCUCAAGUCGAUGAAAAUUGGCAUUUUGAGUCUUUAAGUCUUUAAGUUGAGUCUCCAACUUUUCAUAUUCUGAAGUAACUACUUGCAAUUUUAGCUGCAGACUGUUCAGCUUUUGUAUCUGUAGUAAAGGACCGGCAGAUUUAUUCACAGACCCACCAGUAAGGGUACCAGAUGGGUCAUAAACAUCACCAUCAAGCGUGACACUUUUUAAUUUAACUGAAGGAUGAAAGGUAACUUUCUUUGCCGAUUCAGGGGUAUCACAGACUAAUGUGGAGCCAAAAACAUACUGCAUUGCAGGCAAAAGCUCAUCGUCAUAACCGAUUAAUUCCAAAGCAAGUUGGGCUUUAUUAUUAGAAAUUUUUUUGGCUGCGCCUACUCUCUCUGCUGAAGCUACGAAGCUGGUAAUUUUGUUGAGGGGAAUAAUAGUAACUCUCCUCUUCAGGUUUCCUUUUUGAAGCAAUUGUGCACCAAUUUUCUCGGUUUCAACAAUGAGAUUAUAAAGGCGGCCACCAGCUGUAAUUUCUAAUGCAGUUUGCUUGUCAUAAUUCUCUUCAUUCAAGGUUAGCAAUUGAGCCACCAAUCCUUUCACCUUUGAGCGAUCAAAAUUAGGAGUAGGGUCGGUAUAAGUAAAUUCCAUAUAAGCAAGUUUGCUUUUUAAAGCAUCAAGUUCAUUUAACAAAUUGCCGCGAUCUUUAGCAAGUUGCUUCAACUUUUGCUGGAGUACAUCUUCACCUGUAAUGUCGGAAUUUGUAUUUUUUAAAGACAUUUUAAGCUUCUCAACAUGGUUUUGUAAUAUAUCGAUUUCGCGAUUGAGUUGAUCACAUCGUUUUGUAGCCUCAGCCUUCUUAGGUUUAGUUAAAGAUAUUUGUUUAUUGAGUCCUUCAAGCUUUAAUCGAUUGGUUUCUUUUUCAGCUUUAAAGUCAUUCAACGUAUCUCGAGCUUCGUGUAGUUUUCUAGAAUAGCCAGUUUCAUGACCUUCUGU